UAUAAUGUGAACUGUAUUACGGGAGUCAGAUGACCUUGCCGAUGCUAUUUUUGUUCCAUAAUGUUGCUUUCAUGUUAAUCAAUGUUCUCUUGUCCUUUGUUUCCAUGAAAUCUGCUUCCUCCAUUACACCGUUACGCUGAAUUAAGUCUUGAUGACAUCACACAUGCAUGUGACUAACUAACGUGGUUGAAAAGGAAAGUGGAUUCUGC